rnacentral:rRNA from 1 species
GACGAACCGUCCAAACGUUAUUCGGAAUCACUGGGCUUAAAGGGUGCGUAGGCGGCGCGGAAAGUUGGGUGUGAAAUCCCUCGGCUCAACCGAGGAACUGCGCCCAAAACUGCCGUGCUCGAGGGAGAUAGAGGUGAGCGGAACUUAGGGUGGAGCGGUGAAAUGCGUUGAUAUCCUAAGGAACACCGGUGGCGAAAGCGGCUCACUGGAUCUCUUCUGACGCUGAGGCACGAAAGCUAGGGUAGCGAACGGGG